GGGCAGUGGCCGUUCUGUCCCGUGGGGGAGCAGCCAAGGCGCAUGGUUGGGGCACCGCUAGGGAUGUGGACGAAAAACAGCAGCAGUUGCCGCUCGAUCCGGUGCAAGAGGAAGUGAACGCAUGCCAUGAGACUCGCCGGGCAUGGCUUGCCGCGGAAGAGCCUCACCGCUGUGCCGCGAACAGGCUGUGACCAUGUACGGCGCGAGGCUGCCGCUUGGAAGCGCUUCCGCCGGGCCGAGGGCCACUGCGGUAGCGGGCGCCACCACGGCGAACCAAGGGCUGUAGCCGUCAAACUCGUGGGCGAUGCAGUAGCCAGGAACCGUCGCGCCGAUGGAAUUGCUCCGCUGGGAGCGUGCUGAUAACAUGUU